CACACAUAUCACACAGACAUGAGUGUGCCCACUCAGCUCCUGGCUUUGCUGCUGCUGUGGCUUACAGAUGCCAGAUGUGAUAUCCAGAUGACCCAGUCUCCAGCCUCCCUGUCUGCAUCUGUGGGAGAAAGUGUUUCCAUCACAUGUCUAGCAAGUGAGGACAUUGAUAGUAAUUUAGCAUGGUAUCAGCAGAAACCAGGGAAAUCUCCUCAGCUCCUGAUCUAUAAUGCAAACAGCUUGGAGGAUGGAGUGCCAUCAAGGUUCAGUGGCAGUGGAUCUGGCACACAGUAUUCUCUGAAGAUCAACAGAAUGCAGCCUGAAGAUGUUGCAACUUAUUUCUGUGAGCAGAGUUAUGACUAUCCUCCCACAGUGAUUUAA